GUGCUCCCUUUGGCAGCACAUAUACAAAAAUUAAAAUGAUACAGAUAAGAUUAGCAUGGCUCCUGCACAAGGAUGACAGUCAAAUUUGUGAAGCGUUCCAUAUUUAA